rnacentral:misc_RNA from 1 species
AUAAAAGCUGAAAUUUUGAAUAUGCGGUAAAAAUUUUAGAGACAUUGUGGCUGGUGAAAACAAUGAUACCCCGUAUAUGUGCUGUUUUUCGGUCAGUUUAAGAAAUACUAAAGUGAUGACACAGUCAUAAUUUGGGUGGUACCGCGGUAACAACCGUCCCUUUU